rnacentral:rRNA from 1 species
GCGGCGUGCCUAACACAUGCAAGUCGAACGCGGUUGCCUCGCAAGGGGCAACUGAGUGGCGAACGGGUGAGUAACGCGUGGGUGACCUACCUUCGAGCGGGGGAUAACGUCCCGAAAGGGACGCUAAUACCGCAUGACAUCCUGCCCUUGAACGGGUGGAGAUCAAAGCUGGGGAUCGCAAGACCCGGCACUUGAAGAGGGGCCCGCGUCUGAUUAGCUAGUUGGUGAGGUAACGGCUCACCAAGGCGACGAUCAGUAUCCGGCCUGAGAGGGCGGACGGACACACUGGGACUGAGACACGGCCCAGACUCCUACGGGAGGCAGCAGUGGGGAAUUGUUCACAAUGGGCGCAAGCCUGAUGACGCAACGCCGCGUGGAGGAUGAAGGUCUUCGGAUU